rnacentral:tRNA from 3 species
GGGUCGCUAACUCAGCUGGCUAGAGUGUCUCCUUUACACGGAGGAAGUCGGGGGUUCGAAUCCCUCGCGACCCACCA